rnacentral:rRNA from 1 species
AUUGAACGCUGGCGGCAUGCCUUACACAUGCAAGUCGAACGGUAACAGGUCUUCGGAUGCUGACGAGUGGCGAACGGGUGAGUAAUACAUCGGAACGUGCCUAGUAGUGGGGGAUAACUACUCGAAAGAGUGGCUAAUACCGCAUGAGAUCUACGGAUGAAAGCAGGGGAUCGCAAGACCUUGUGCUACUAGAGCGGACGAUGGCAGAUUAGGUAGUUGGUGGGAUAAAAGCUUACCAAGCCGACGAUCUGUAGCUGGUCUGAGAGGACGAUCAGCCACACUGGGACUGAGACACGGCCCAGACUCCUACGGGAAGCAGCAGUGGGGAAUUUUGGACAAUGGGCGCAAGCCUGAUCCAGCAAUGCCGCGUGCAGGAUGAAGGCCUUCGGGUUGUAAACUGCUUUUGUACGGAACGAAAAGCCCUGGGUUAAUACCCUGGGGUCAUGACGGUACCGUAAGAAUAAGCACCGGCUAACUACGUGCCAGCCGCCGCAGUAA